UGGGGAAUAUUGGACAAUGGGCGAAAGCCUGAUCCAGCCAUGCCGCGUGUGUGAAGAAGGUCUUCGGAUUGUAAAGCACUUUAAGUUGGGAGGAAGGGCAGUAAGCGAAUACCUUGCUGUUUUGACGUUACCGACAGAAUAAGCACCGGCUAACUCUGUGCCAGCAGCCGCGGUAAUACAGAGGGUGCAAGCGUUAAUCGGAAUUACUGGGCGUAAAGCGCGCGUAGGUGGUUCGUUAAGUUGAAUGUGAAAGCCCCGGGCUCAACCUGGGAACUGCAUCCAAAACAGGCGAGCUAGAGUAGGGCAGAGGGUGGUGGAAUUUCCUGUGUAGCGGUGAAAUGCGUAGAUAUAGGAAGGAACACCAGUGGCGAAGGCGACCACCUGGGCUCAUACUGACACUGGGGUGCGAAAGCGUGGGGAGCAAACAGG
rnacentral:rRNA from 1 species